UUGCUUUUGCAGUUUAUAUACUGAACUUGGGAUGAUACAAGAAAGAUUAGCAUGGUCCCUGAGCAAGGCUGACACACUAAUUCAUGAUGUAUUCCAUCUUUUC